GGGUCCCUCCUAUUUGGCUUGGUAAACUCUGAGUUGCAAUUUGUAACAUCCUUGAUAGCAUCUCAGAAUACAAAAUAAACAAAUAGAGAGACAUCAGACAACCCUAUUGAAAUCACACCGAAGGCCUAAACCAUGGCGACGACAAGCCGCUAACUAGAACAGCAAAUCUGGGAUUACGCACACAUGCCUUGAUCCAUAUGUUAAAUUUACGAUGAAAGCCAAAGUGUAAUAUCCCAGAUCUUCUGGUAAGAAUUUUUUGGCUUCAGUUCCUGGUUGAUGCCGAUCUAAACCUACAGGUAAGUGGUUUAAAUCUGAACUCUAGAACAGAGAAGAAUUUUGGAGGUGUUUUGAUUAGAUCUGGAGGAGAGAAAUAAGGGAUGAGGGAGAAAUUUUCAGAGGGGGGUUUGAUCCGAAAGAGAUAUC
rnacentral:lncRNA from 1 species